CGCCGAAGGGCCAGCGCGGGACGCGGCGGCUCCGGCUCCCCGGCCGGGCGCAGCGCGCUGUGACCUCUCGUCCGUCCGUCCGAGCGUGAGAGGAGGACAACAAAGCUGAAAUGGGCCUUGUUACAUGCCCAGGGUCCUUCCAUGAGAUCUGCCCUGGAGGGUUACUGACUGUGGUGCUGCAGACAUCUCGUUGGGCAGAAGAAGACAGAACUUCAUUUAGAGUGGAUAACUGCGUUGUUGUUACCCCAAGGGAGCAGGACACAAACUAUUCAUGGAAUGGCAUUCAUCUUUAAUAAAUACUUUACAUAAC